UCCGUGUGCGUCGUCGCGAGUCACGAGAGGUUGAUUAUGGCUCAGGAUUAACGCUGGCGGCGUGCCUAAUACAUGCAAGUCGAAUGGUAGCAAUACCAUGGCGAACGGGUGAGUAACACGUAGGUAACCUGUCUUUAAGCCGAGGAUAACCAUUGGAAACGAUGGAUAAUACUGGAUAGGACAUAUGAAGGCAUCUUUAGAUGUUUAAAGAUUUAUCACUUAGAGAGGGGCCUGCGGCGCAUUAGCUAGUUGGUGAGGUGAAGGCUUACCAAGGCGAUGAUGCGUAGCCGGACUGAGAGGUUGAACGGCCACAAUGGAACUGAGAACGGUCCAUACUCCUACGGGAGGCAGCAGUAGGGAAUUUUCGGCAAUGGGCGGAAGCCUGACCGAGCAACGCCGCGUGAACGAAGAAGUAUUUCGGUAUGUAAAGUUCUUUUAUUAGGGACGAAAAGACAGAUUGACGGUACCUAAUGAAUAAGCUCCGGCUAACUACGUGCCAGCAGCCGC
rnacentral:rRNA from 1 species